rnacentral:rRNA from 1 species
CCCUUAGAUGUCCGGGGCUGCACGCGCGCUACACUGAAGGAAUCAGCGUGCUAAAACCAUUGUCGAAAGGCAUUGGUAAGCCCAUUAAAAUCCUACGUGAUUGGGAUCGGGAAUUGCAAUUAUUUCCCUUGAACGAGGAAUUCCCAGUAAGUGUGGGUCAUAAGCUCGCGUUGAUUACGUCCCUGCCCUUUGUACACACCGCCCGUCGCUGCCCGGGACUGAGCCGUUUCGAGAAAAGCGGGGACUGCUGCUGUCGGGGCUUUCGGGCCUUGGCUUCGGUGGAAACCGCUUUAAUCGCAGUGGCUUGAACCGGGCAAAAGUCGUAACA